rnacentral:rRNA from 1 species
GUGGGGAAUCUUGCGCAAUGGGCGAAAGCCUGACGCAGCCAUGCCGCGUGAAUGAUGAAGGUCUUAGGAUUGUAAAAUUCUUUCACCGGGGACGAUAAUGACGGUACCCGGAGAAGAAGCUCCGGCUAACUUCGUGCCAGCAGCCGCGGUAAUACGAAGGGGGCUAGCGUUGCUCGGAAUUACUGGGCGUAAAGGGCGCGUAGGCAGACAGCUUAGUCAGAGGUGAAAGCCCAGGGCUCAACCUUGGAAUUGCCUUUGAUACUGGCUGUCUUGAGUUUGGGAGAGGUGAGUGGAACUCCGAGUGUAGAGGUGAAAUUCGUAGAUAUUCGGAAGAACACCAGUGGCGAAGGCGACUCACUGGCCCAAUACUGACGCUGAGGCGCGAAAGCGUGGGGAGCAAACAGGAUUAGAACCCUUGUAGUCC